ACUGGUGUUUGUCCUUCGCCACCCCCUCCAGUCCAGAGAAGUUGAGAAAACCCCUCUUUAUUCAUCUGUACUGGACCGGAACCUGCCUCUUUUACAGGGACAUCUGCGCGAUGUGAUCUAAAGAAAAAAUGUGAACCCAUUAUUUCAGUCGUUGUUCUUCCUCUCCAUUUUGGCCCUCUAUCUAAGCUUUUGUUUACGUCGAGUGACACUAUUACAGGCCUACUCCGUUAGCAGCAAUACUUUGAAAAAGACCAACUUCAAGAACUGGAACAUAACCAAAGAAGUUUAAGUUUACUAUCACCGUUACUGUUACGAAAGUUUUGGUGCCGCCAGAGCGUCCAGCAGCGACAUGUUGCUUCUCGGCGUGAACACGCAUGUAGCGAUGGAGAGAGAGGAAGGCCGUCAGACGGCAGACAAAGGCCUGCAUGGAAGGGGUGCUGCUGCGGCCCAUGUUUGACGGCUGGCCUUUUCAUGCUUUCUGUCAGCGGGUGCCGGUUCACUCAGACCACCAGGGGUCCUCAACUGACCUGUCAAAUCCGAGGAGCCAGGAGGAGGGAGGGUGCCACCUAGUGGCAGUGAGAGCAAACUCGUUUUGUUCUCUUUGUUGUUACAGUCGUCUGAGGUCAGUGUUGGAUGAACUGCUGACAUAGAUUGUCAUGUCGAAAUGUAACAUCUGAAUAAAGGACAGAAUUAUCUCUCUCUCUCGGUUUCUCCUUUGGUGUCUUCCCUGCACAAUACAAUGCAGGUUAACAGCAGGAAGUAAUACACUUUAAUUAACACCUUCCAUGUGUUAAUGAACAGUAUGAGGUUCCAGUAUGAUGUUGGAUGUAGACACUGGGAAUGGAUGGAGAGUUAUUUGCAGACCUGGUCAAAAGUGGUGUCCCCUGUUUGACUGUGUUCCAAGUCACCCUGUUCCAAUGCAGACAGCCACAGAGGUGGCACUGUCCCAUUACAUUAACCUUUUAAUUCAAGGCCCAUUACACCACUACAAUCAGUAUUAAUUCCCAAAAUUAUUUUUUAAUUUCAAAUAAAUAUUGAAGGAACACACAUGCAUGUACGUCCACACACCCCAUGAACACAUACACUGCACAAGAUGCAGUGGGGUUCACUAACUGUCAUCUUUCCACAAAUUGUUUUAAUCAUUUGCUAAGGCACCAAUACACUUGUAGGCACACACAGAAAGACUUCAUUUGACAUCUUUUAAUUGAAUAUGAUGAAAUUCAAAUCCACAGUUUCUUUCCUGGUAUACUCUAAGUUUAUAAUUUUUUGAGUGGAGAUACCUUAGGAAACUUUUCUAUUUGGUUACAGGCGGUGUGUGUGUGUGUGUGUAUGCCAGGUUUCGGCUGGUGGGAGGGCAUUAUGGAGUCUGAGUAAUGCUUUCUCGUAACCUAUAUCCUGUCCCAACAAACACAGGCGGCAGGCACCAUGCCAGGUGAGAUUGAACCAAACCCUGCCCUCUUCCCAUGGAGGUAAGAGCAUGACCGAGCCAAAAUGGUGGCACCUAGGCCCCAGUCUUCGCCAGACAGAACCAACAUGGCUGCCGUAACACUACAAGGGGGUAUUGGAUAUCCCUGACUGAGAGAGAGACAGAAGGAGGAGCCAAAUUCCUGCUUUUAGAUGAAGAAGGGGUGGGGGGGCUGUCUAAUGGAAGUCUGCUGAGACUCCAAGUCAAUUAUUCAGCCAGAAAGUAGAGGAGGAGGAGGAGGAUCUGGAGAGAGUGGGGUAUUGACUUGGGUAAUAAUCUCUGGUCCGUCAGCAGCAGCCAGCGCCCUGAGACCGUGCUGAGACCAGACGCGGAGGUGGGAGGGAGGAAGGGGGGGUGUUGGCCAAGAUCCUAGACAUCCUCUCAGAGCAAAAGGUUAGUGUCAAUCCCCUGCCGCAUCAGGUAUAAAUAGCGUCUCUCGUCUCCAGAUGGCAGUCAAGAAGGGGAUUUGUGUGUAAAGAUGUUUAUGCGCAUACUGGUUGCGUGUUGAUUUUGAGCAUUUGAGCGUGUUGAAUUUGUGAGUGUAAAUGAUUCAGAAGGCUCAGUUCAGAUAAGGUGAGGUAACAGGCCUUCUUGUUCUGUUGGCCCGUAGUGGAGACUGCAUAAAUUGUCACAACAAUUGUGUAAUAGAAAUUAGACAAUGACACUUAUACAAAUGAACAAAACAGUAAAAAAUACUGUAAUGUACUAGACAAAUAUUAAAAAUGUCUAUAAUUUUGUUUGCUAAUUAUAAUGCCUGAAUGUUAUACAUGUGAUGAUUUUGUCCAUAACUCUUUAAUUUAGUUACCUUGACCUUAAGAUUACACAGAUCACUGGGGGGAAAUCUGUUGGUAAUACCUGCUAUCAGAACUAAACAUGGCGGAGCAACUUUUAGCUAUGCUGCUCAGCUCUGGAACCAACCUCCUGAUGACAUCAAAGGUUCUCCAAAUAUAGCCAGCUUCAGAUGUAGAAUCAAAACCCAUCUCUUCUCCAAUUCUUUUUGUCCACUGAUUUAAUGCACUGUACUUUUUAUUUUUUUAUGGCUUUAGUUGAUUUUUCAUGCUCCUUCCUUUUUAAUAGUUUAAUUUUAUGGUCUGUUCACUGUUUUAAUGCGUUUAACCUUUUUUAAUCUCUUAUUUCUUCUAUGUUCUUUUAUCUGGUCAUUUGUAAAUCACUCUGAAUUACCCAUCUGCAUGAAUUGUGCAAUAUAAAUAAAAUGGCCCUGCUGAACACA